CCGGCAUGAUGGAGGAAAGGGUUGAUACACUGGUGCUCUCCUAAGCGCUAUAAGCAGCAGUGACUGUGACUCCUUUCAGCCCUCAGGCCAUGGAGCAGCUGGCCUGCCGCUGCAAUUUGCUCUUGCCCUGAAUAUUUGGGGCGGGACCUUCAGCCUGCGUGAGGCCUGAAGAGGAUGUUCCUGCCACAGAAGGCAUCCAAGUCUUAUGGCAGGCACCGCUGUCACGCUCAGACUUCUCAGACUUGGUCUCAGGCUCAGCUGCUGUCUCUAUGGGGCGGCUGUGGACUCUUCAGGAAUCAGCGACCUUCAUGGAUGUGGUUGUGGACUUCACCCAGGAAGAAUAGGCCUUGGUGGGCGCAUCCCAGCGAAAGCUAUACAGAGAUGUGAUGCUGGAGAACAUCAGUCAUCUUCUCUCUGUUGUUGAGUCUGUCAACAAGGACUUAUUUACUCAAGUAUCCAGGGAAGUUUCCACAUAUCAUGCUCCCCUCUCAGCUCUCAUUUUUAUUCUUUCAUAACACAACUACGAGAAGGCAGGAGAAGUAACCUUUAAAACCAAGAAAUUGUACCUAUACCAGAUAUCUGCAGGAAUAAUCCAUCUAACUGUACAGUGAUGGUUCAUGGUGAGUUAACAUAUGUGAAGUCACGUGGGCCCAGGAGGCCCACCUCCAUAAGCUGUUGGACCAACUGAGGCAGCAAAGCCAUGAGGAAACUCUGAAGUUUCACCUGGAAAAUACCCAAGAUAUUCUCCAGAACAUGAAAUACUGGUAGGCAGACCAGAUUCAAAAAGACAGAAGGGGAUGGCCUGAAAUCCAUAAUUAAUGUCAGAUGAAGCCUGCUUAGGAGGCCAGGGGUGUGCCCAGGAAGUUCAAGAUGAAAAUCUUUCCUCUAACUUCGGAGAAUGUUGUGG
rnacentral:lncRNA from 1 species